rnacentral:misc_RNA from 1 species
AGAGAAUGGGCUUACGUUUAUUGGUCGAAACAUGGAGAUGUUGCUGAAGAGUGCGAUUGUCGAAGACUGUUUUGUGAUUAUUUUGCCGGGCAUGAUCGAGCUUGCACAGGAGCGAGGGCUACAAAUUUUCUCAUCCGAGAGCUACCCUAAAGUGAUAAAUGACCUAUUCUUCCGAAGAGAGGGGAUACUUGGAACUAUGAAUGGUAACUUAAGCUUCCACUGUGAGGACUUCCUCCAGCUUGAGGCACUGCCAAAGAUAUACAAGAAAAAGAAAGAUCUUAUCUUGCUUAGGGAGCAAUUAGGUGGGCUGGAAUUUCUGUCACCCUCUGCGACUGCUUGCGCUUUCAUGAUUACCGGAGACAAAG